GGAUCACAUUUCUAGCUCAAUGGUAGAGCGUUUGCACUUGAAUCGCAAAGGUUAUGGGUUCGAAUACCAUUGGAGCCU